UCCAAACCCUCUGAACUGUUCCAGUUUGC
rnacentral:piRNA from 1 species